rnacentral:misc_RNA from 1 species
AGGCGGCCGUGUUCAUGGACGGCGUCGAGAAGGUAAGCGACCUCAAGCCCGGCAUGGUGCUCGAAGGCGCGGUCACGAAUGUCGCCGCGUUCGGCGCAUUCGUCGAUGUCGGCGUGCAUCAGGACGGCCUNNNCAUAUCUCGGCGAUGUCGCGCACCUUCAUCAAGGACCCGCGCGAUGUGGUGAAGCCGGGCGACAUUGUGCGCGUCAAGGUUCUGGACGUGGAUGUUCCGCGCAAGCGCAUCGCGCUGACGCUGCGCCUCGACGACGAGAUCGGGCCGGCCUCAGACCGCGC